UACAGAGGUCUCGAGCGUUGUUCGGAUUCAUUGGGCGUAAAGGGCGCGUAGGCGGCGGGGUAAGUCUGGUGUGAAAUCUCGGAGCUCAACUCCGAAAUUCACUGGAUACUGCUCUGCUAGAGGGCUGGAGAGGAGAAUCGGAAUCACGGUGUAGCAGUGAAAUGCGUAGAUAUCGUGAGGAAGACCAGUGGCGAAGGCGGAUCUCUGGACAGCUCCUGACGCUGAGGCGGCGAAGGCUAGGGGAGCAAACGGG
rnacentral:rRNA from 1 species